UGAAGAGCAAGGAAACUGGACAACAAAAAGGCGCCAAACUUGUAAAAAAACAAUUGCGUGUUAUCUUGUAGCAUGAGUGACAACAAAAAGUUAACUCGUACAAUGUCCAAUCGGCAUGGUGAUAUAAGCCAUGAACUGCUAAAAUGGGCUGUCGAAGAGAUGGGCAUUAGACCUCAAGGCCGCCAUGUUAACGAUCKUCUGCCAACAGCUGAAGACCUAAAACUUUUGAGUCGUGGUGCCAUGGUGGAUGUGUGGGAAUUCGUUAUCAAACAUGUUAAAUCAACAAAGAAUGCACAGAAAAUAAAAGGAAAUCUCAAAGUGUAUCCUUUACAUCUUCUACUUAUAUUGCAU